AUAUAUAUAUUUCACACUUCUAUUAAUUAAAAACUAUUAAAAUAACCUUACUUAAAUAAUAGCCGUAGAUUUAAUCUCACUUACGUAAGUGAGAUUAAAUCGUUACUGUUAGGUCCAAUACCUCUUUCCUUGGUGAUUGAUGACAAUUUAGGGGUCUUAUUGUAAAAAAAAAAGGUGCAAAGUUUCUCAACCUUGAAACAUAGCUCCUUUCAUUUUGAAUAUUUGAUAUUUUGUAGUAAUGUACUAAUAUUUUUUUUUCAUUAGGCUCUUAUUUUAAGGUAUGUAAUACUUGAAAGAUAAAAAUAUUUUUAUGUUUUAAAGUAAUAUUUAUGUGACAAUGUGGUUUGUAUAUAUUAAUUUAGUAUUAUGUUUUUCAUUUGAUUAUUUAUUGAUUUAAAAUAUAUUUUCUGUAACGGGUAAUGGGUCGGGUCAUAUUACCCGUUAAUAUUAAAAAGUCAAUUUCGGAUUUGGUCAUAUUACCUGUUUAUUUUAACGGGUGUUACUGAUGCGAAAUAUAUAAGCACACAAAUUAAACCCUCUUUUUAUCAAAUGUAGUAAAGUAUGUAAGUAGGGAUCGUUCUAGGCCGGGGAUUAGGAGGGAUUGCUAAACACUUGAAAACUGACUUAAAAACAUAAAAAUAAAAUUUAAAACACUAACUAGACUCAAAGAAUGCAAAACUAUACUUUAAAAUACUUAAACAAACAUAAAACUCAAAACAGCAACCUAAUGACUCAAAACUACCUAAAAACCACUUUCUGGGCAGUUUUGAGAACCUAACAAGAACUUGGACGAAGUUGGAUAAAAACUUGAAUAAAAACACUUAGAAACACA
rnacentral:lncRNA from 1 species